AUUGAACGCUGGCGGCAGGCCUAACACAUGCAAGUCGAACGGUAGCACAGAGAGCUUGCUCUCGGGUGACGAGUGGCGGACGGGUGAGUAAUGUCUGGGAAACUGCCCGAUGGAGGGGGAUAACUACUGGAAACGGUAGCUAAUACCGCAUAAUGUCGCAAGACCAAAGAGGGGGACCUUCGGGCCUCUUGCCAUCGGAUGUGCCCAGAUGGGAUUAGCUUGUAGGUGAGGUAACGGCUCACCUAGGCGACGAUCCCUAGCUGGUCUGAGAGGAUGACCAGCCACACUGGAACUGAGACACGGUCCAGACUCCUACGGGAGGCAGCAGUGGGGAAUAUUGCACAAUGGGCGCAAGCCUGAUGCAGCCAUGCCGCGUGUAUGAAGAAGGCCUUCGGGUUGUAAAGUACUUUCAGCGGGGAGGAAGGGAGUGAGGUUAAUAACCUUAUUCAUUGACGUUACCCGCAGAAGAAGCACCGGCUAACUCCGUGCCAGCAGCCGCGGUAAUACGGAGGGUGCAAGCGUUAAUCGGAAUUACUGGGCGUAAAGCGCACGCAGGCGGUCUGUCAAGUCGGAUGUGAAAUCCCCGGGCUCAACCUGGGAACUGCAUUCGAAACUGGCAGGCUGGAGUCUUGUAGAGGGGGGUAGAAUUCCAGGUGUAGCGGUGAAAUGCGUAGAGAUCUGGAGGAAUACCGGUGGCGAAGGCGGCCCCCUGGACAAAGACUGACGCUCAGGUGCGAAAGCGUGGGGAGCAAACAGGAUUAGAUACCCUGGUAGUCCACGCUGUAAACGAUGUCGACUUGGAGGUUGUUCCCUUGAGGAGUGGCUUCCGGAGCUAACGCGUUAAGUCGACCGCCUGGGGAGUACGGCCGCAAGGUUAAAACUCAAAUGAAUUGACGGGGGCCCGCACAAGCGGUGGAGCAUGUGGUUUAAUUCGAUGCAACGCGAAGAACCUUACCUACUCUUGACAUCCAGAGAACUUAGCAGAGAUGCUUUGGUGCCUUCGGGAACUCUGAGACAGGUGCUGCAUGGCUGUCGUCAGCUCGUGUUGUGAAAUGUUGGGUUAAGUCCCGCAACGAGCGCAACCCUUAUCCUUUGUUGCCAGCGGUCCGGCCGGGAACUCAAAGGAGACUGCCAGUGAUAAACUGGAGGAAGGUGGGGAUGACGUCAAGUCAUCAUGGCCCCUACGAGUAGGGCUACACACGUGCUACAAUGGCAUAUACAAAGAGAAGCGACCUCGCGAGAGCAAGCGGACCUCAUAAAGUAUGUCGUAGUCCGGAUUGGAGUCUGCAACUCGACUCCAUGAAGUCGGAAUCGCUAGUAAUCGUGGAUCAGAAUGCCACGGUGAAUACGUUCCCGGGCCU
rnacentral:rRNA from 1 species